rnacentral:misc_RNA from 1 species
GAUGAAGAACGUAGCGAAAUGCGAUAAGUAAUGUGAAUUGCAGAAUUCAGUGAAUCAUCGAAUCUUUGAACGCACAUUGCGCCCGCUAGUAUUCUGGCGGGCAUGCCUGUUCGGGCGUCAUUUCAACCAUCAAGCUCUAGGCUUGUGUUGGAGCCCUGCGGCCGUCCGCAGCCUCCUAAAAACAGUGGCGGGCUCGCUAUCACACCGAGUGCAGUAGUUUACUCUUCGCUCAGGGCGUGUAGCGGGUUCCGGCCGUAAAACUCUCUAUUUCUAAAUGUUGACCUCGGAUCAGGUAGGAAUACCCGCUGAACUUAAGCAUAUCAAUAAGCGGAGGA